rnacentral:tRNA from 1 species
GAGGGUAUAGCUCAAUGGUAGAGCACAUGCUUAGCAUGCACAAGGUCCUGGGUUCAAUCCCCAGCACCUCUA